rnacentral:rRNA from 1 species
AGUGAACGCUGGCGGUAGGCCUAACACAUGCAAGUCGAACGGCAGCACAGUAAGAGUUUGCUCUUACGGGUGGCGCGUGGCGGACGGGUGAGGAAUACAUCGGAAUCUACUUUUUCGUGGGGGAUAACGUAGGGAAACUUACGCUAAUACCGCAUACGACCUACGGGUGAAAGCAGGGGAUCUUCGGACCUUGCGCGAUUGAAUGAGCCGAUGUCGGAUUAGCUAGUUGGCGGGGUAAAGGCCCACCAAGGCGACGAUCCGUAGCUGGUCUGAGAGGAUGAUCAGCCACACUGGAACUGAGACACGGUCCAGACUCCUACGGGAGGCAGCAGUGGGGAAUAUUGGACAAUGGGCGCAAGCCUGAUCCAGCCAUACCGCGUGGGUGAAGAAGGCCUUCGGGUUGUAAAGCCCUUUUGUUGGGAAAGAAAAGCAGCAGGUUAAUACCCCGCUGUUCUGACGGUACCCAAAGAAUAAGCACCGGCUAACUUCGUG